CCUACGGGAGGCAGCAGUAGGGAAUUUUGCGCAAUGGGGGAAACCCUGACGCAGCAACGCCGCGUGAUCGAUGAAGCCCUUCUGGGUGUAAAGAUCUGUCAGUGGGGACGAAACCUGACGGUACCCACAGAGGAAGCACCGGCUAACUCCGUGCCAGCAGCCGCGGUAAUACGGGGGGUGCAAGCGUUGUCCGGAAUCAUUGGGCGUAAAGAGUUCGUAGGUGGCACGUUAAGUCUGGUGUUAAAGGCGGAAGCUCAACUUCCGUAGGGCACUGGUUACUGGCGAGCUGGAAUGCGGUAGAGAGAAAGGGAAUUCCGGGUGUAGCGGUGAAAUGUGGAGAUAGCAGGAGGAACAGCGGUGGCGUAAGCGCUUAACUGGGCCGUAAUUGACACUGAGGAACGAAAGCCGGGGAAGCAAAUGGGAUUAGAGACCCUAGUAGUC
rnacentral:rRNA from 1 species